rfam:Blastococcus saxobsidens DD2 complete genome
CGAGUCGGCUGGGCGGUCGCGUCGGCGGGGGAGACCCCGUCGCCGAGGAACGUCCGGGCUUCACAGGGCAGGGUGGUCGUUAACGGCGACCCGGGGUAACCCGCGGGACAGUGCCACAGAGAACAGACCGCCAGCGGUUCGCCGCUGGUAAGGGUGAAACGGUGGUGUAAGAGACCACCAGCACAUCGGGUGACCGGUGUGGCUCGGUAAACCCCACCCGGAGCUAGGUCAAGAAGGGACGGCGGUUCGCCGUCGUCCUGCGCAGGCGUUCGAGGGCGGCCCGCCCGAGCCUGCGGGUAGACCGCUCGAGCCUGCCGGCAACGGCAGGCCUAGAUGGAUGACCGCCCAUCGGGAGGCCGCAAGGCGCCCGUGGACAGAACCCGGCGUACAGGCCGACUCGUCCG